AUUGAACGCUGGCGGCAGGCCUAACACAUGCAAGUCGAACGAGUGGCGGACGGGUGAGUAAUGUCUGGGAAACUGCCUGAUGGAGGGGGAUAACUACUGGAAACGGUAGCUAAUACCGCAUACCAUCGGAUGUGCCCAGAUGGGAUUAGCUAGUAGGUGGGGUAACGGCUUCACUAGGCGACGAUCCCUAGCUGGGCUGCGAGGAUGACCAGCCACACUGGAACUGAGACCCGGUCCAGACUCCUACGGGAGGCAGCCGUGGGGAAUAUUGCGCAAUGGGCGCAAGCCUGAUGCAGCCAUGCCGCGUGUAUGAAGAAGGCCUUCGGGUUGUAAAGUACUUUCAGCGGGGAGGCGUUACCCGCAGAAGAAGCACCGGCUAACUCCGUGCCAGCAGCCGCGGUAAUAC
rnacentral:rRNA from 1 species